UAGGGAAUUUUGCGCAAUGGACGAAAGUCUGACGCAGCAAUACCGUGUGAGGGAUGAAGCAUUUCGGUGUGUAAACCUCUGUCGAUGACGAAUAAAGCAUUUGGGAGUGGAAAGCCCAGGUGUUGAAGGUAGUCAGAAAGGAAGCACCGGCUAACUCUGUGCCAGCAGCCGCGGUAAUACAGGGGGUGCAAGCGUUGUUCGGAAUUACUGGGCGUAAAGGGAGCGUAGGCGGGAUUACAAGACAGAGGUU
rnacentral:rRNA from 1 species